CAGUUUCCUGGUAACACCCAAUGAGAAGCAACCUUUCUCUUUUCUGUGACCGGAAGUCACAUUUUAUCUGAAAUGAAGGAAUUAGGUUAUGAUGUCGAUAGACUAAAGACUGGAAACUGCGGUUGGUGUAUGUGCCCAUGAGAGUGGCAAGCUCUGAGGAUGGAUCGAGCUCUCAAAUUCACUUCACGUGGUGAGCUGCUAUGGGCGACUGCAAUUUGCCACUGGCAACUUUGUCAAGACCUUAUGAAUGAUUGUCAUAUUCUGCAACCGGAGAAACCCAAAAAAAAAAAAAAAAAAAGAAUCUGGGUGGUUACAUCUUGUUUACAGGAAUCUGUUUGAUGAAAAAUAUGCCAUAAUAAAAAUUGGAUUCCAUUUGAAAUCAAACAUUAACGAAAUAAGCUUUUGCCUUCUGACUUGAAGCAAGAACAACCUUGAGCUGGGCCUGGUAAAGAAUUGCUUUCAGAGGUCUUAAUUUUGUACUGCAAUCUGAACAUUAAUGCCAUCCUGGUUUCUUUAAGAUGUUACUUGGGGUGAGAGAUGCCCUGGGAAGCAUCAUUUCAAUUGUGAAAAAAUUCAUCUUGAAACUGUGACACCCAUAGAGAAUUUGGAAGCUGAGUUGAAGACUUUUAUUUAACUUGUUCUGUAUCUGUAUAUUACUGUUUCAGUGAUGAAAUCCCCAAAUCAAAUUUUUUUUCGAGUUACAAAAAACUAAAGAAUUUAUGAUAGUAACAUGUAUGUUCAUCUAACUAUUUCUGGGUUGUUAAGUGGUUUGAUAGAGAUUUUUAGUUAUUCAAGAGGAUUUGAAUUUGA